UGGGGAAUAUUGGACAAUGGGGGCAACCCUGAUCCAGCCAUGCCGCGUGUGUGAAGAAGGCCUUUUGGUUGUAAAGCACUUUAAGCAGGGAGGAGAGGCUAAUGGUUAAUACCCAUUAGAUUAGACGUUACCUGCAGAAUGAGCACCGGCUAACUCUGUGCCAGCAGCCGCGGUAAAUACAGAGGGUGCGAGCGUUAAUCGGAAUUACUGGGCGUAAAGCGAGUGUAGGUGGCUCAUUAAGUCACAUGUGAAAUCCCCGGGCUUAACCUGGGAACUGCAUGUGAUACUGGUGGUGCUAGAAUAUGUGAGAGGGAAGUAGAAUUCCAGGUGUAGCGGUGAAAUGCGUAGAGAUCUGGAGGAAUACCGAUGGCGAAGGCAGCUUCCUGGCAUAAUAUUGACACUGAGAUUCGAAAGCGUGGGUAGCAAACAGGAUUAGAUACCCUGGUAGUCCACGCCGUAAACGAUGUCUACUAGCCGUUGGGGUCCUUGAGACUUUAGUGGCGCAGUUAACGCGAUAAGUAGACCGCCUGGGGAG
rnacentral:rRNA from 1 species